rnacentral:rRNA from 1 species
UACGGGGGGGGGCAAGCGUUGUUCGGAAUUACUGGGCGUAAAGGGCUCGUAGGUGGCCAACUAAGUCAGACGUGAAAUCCCUCGGCUUAACCGGGGAACUGCGUCUGAUACUGGAUGGCUAGAGAUUGGGAGAGGGAUGCGGAAUUCCAGGUGUAGCGGUGAAAUGCGUAGAUAUCUGGAGGAACACCGGUGGCGAAGGCGGCAUCCUGGACCAACACUGACGCUGAGGAGCGAAAGCCAGGGGAGCAAACGGGG